rnacentral:rRNA from 1 species
GUGAGGAAUUUUCCGCAAUGGGCGAAAGCCUGACGGAGCAAUGCCGCGUGAAGGAUGAAGGCCUAUGGGUUGUAAACUUCUUUUCUCAGAAAAGAAUUAUGACGGUAUCUGAGGAAUAAGCAUCGGCUAACUCUGUGCCAGCAGCCGCGGUAAGACAGAGGAUGCAAGCGUUAUCCGGAAUGAUUGGGCGUAAAGCGUCUGUAGGUUGUUUAAAAAGUAUUCUGUCAAAGAUUAGGGCUUAACCCUAGAUAGGCAGAAUAAACUUUUAAGCUAGAGUUUGGUAGAGGCAGAGGGAAUUCCCGGUGGAGCGGUGAAAUGCGUAGAUACCGGGAGGAACACCAAAGGCGAAGGCACUCUGCUGGGCCAAUACUAACACUGAGAGACGAAAGCGAGGGGAGCAAAUGGGAUUAGAUACCCUGGUAGUCC